UGAAAACAUAAGUUAAAUAAUUAGUCCAAUCAUGCAACUUAGGCAAGAGAAUAUUCUGAUAGGGCAGCAUGUCCAUGUGUCUAGUCAUUAACCUAUCUGGUUUUAGGGUUGUUGUGUACUAUUUUUUCAACUGUAUUUAAAAAUAAUUUUACACCCUUACUACAAUUUCAAAUGGGUACUAAAAAGUUUUUUAUGAUUAUUUUGUUGAUAUAAAAGGUGAUGCUGGCUCUUGAGUUCAUGAGGCUACCAAGGAAUGCCUCGAGGCAUGUCCAUAUAUCUUCUGCUUAAUGGUUCCACUAGAAAAACCAUCGGAGUUGAGUUUAUGUUAGAGAUGCUUGGACCUGUGAAUGACCAAAUACUCUUAUUUAUUUUAUGCAAAUGUUGUUCAUUUA
rnacentral:misc_RNA from 1 species